GGCCGCCUGGCGAAAUGGCAUCGCGUCUGACUACGAAGGUGCUUAGGUCAGCAUCAGACAAUCAGGAGAUUGCAGGUUCGACCCCUGCGGUGGUCA